rnacentral:lncRNA from 1 species
CAGGGACAUGAUCAUCGCUCACUGCUCUUUCAAACUUCGGCUCUUACAGAAAGGCAGGCAAGCGUUAAUAUGCAAAUACAGGCCAUUGAUGCAUUUAUAAUGUUAUAUAAUUUUUUUUAAUGCUACUUAUAUUUUCUCAUGGCUAUACUCUGGGAGUAAUUUUAAAACAGCUUUUGUUUUUAAUAUAGGAAUAGUUUAUAGG